AAUGAUGUGGUAUCCUUUGUGCAAUCUGAAGCUUAUCUUGUUCACAUCGGAACAGAUGUUGAAAUUGCUCUUGAUCAAUCCCGUGUGUUAUAUGACAUGGACAGCGAUGAUGAAGAGUGGAUAUCAAGCUGGCGGAAAUCCUUAGUAAGAGACAACACCACCACACUUCAGUUUGCAGAAGAUUUGUUUGAGAGGGUUAUGGACAAACUAGAGAAGUUUGCAUAUAGCCACAACUGUAAUGGACUCAGCAUUGAUCAGAUGAAGGAACUGGGGACUGAUGAUGUACCUCUGCACACUAUUGAAGUGAUACAUGCAUAUUGGCAAGACAAGAGGCAAAAAAGGGGAAUGCCACUUAUUCGACAUUUUCAGUCGGCUAUGUGGAAGAUCUACGAGCAGCAACUGCAUGAAUGGGAAUCAAAAGUAUGCAGAAUGCAGAGUUCAUCAAAUGGGUACCAAGAAAAGAAAUUGCCUCCCAAGCCUGCAUUGUUUGCCUUCUGUUUGGGGCCUCGUGGACUCCAUGUACCAUACAAGGGACCAAAGCAGCGUUCUCAUAAGAAGCUUAUGUCCACAGGCUGCCAUAGCUUUUCAAGAGAGCAUGAUGGCUUUUACCGGCAAGCUAUUCUCCCUUAAUGGCUACUGUUUUUGG